AUUAAAAUGAAAUUUUUCAGUUUCAAUAAUGAUUUUUUAUUCAUUUAGAUUGGUCUGUUCAAUCAAAUUACUUUGGAACAUUGUCCUGGAUUAGUUCAACUCGUGAAACCCGGAGAAGAAAUGUCUGACCUGAUGAAGCUGUCUCCAGAAAGUAUAUUGUUACGUUGGGUCAAUUAUCAUCUGGACAGAGCUGGCAGCAAUCGUCGAAUCACAAACUUCACAAAUGAUAUCAAAGACUCGGAGAUAUACACACAUUUACUAAAACAGAUUGCUCCCGUUGGUGCUGGAGUAACAUGUGAAGCUUUAAUG